rnacentral:rRNA from 1 species
ACCCCUCCUUUUUGCAGCAGUGAGGAAUAUUGGUCAAUGGCCGAGAGGCUGAACCAGCCAAGUCGCGUGAGGGAAGACGGCCCUACGGGUUGUAAACCUCUUUUGUCGGGGAGCAAAGCGAACCACGUGUGGUUCAUUGAGAGUACCCGAAGAAAAAGCAUCGGCUAACUCCGUGCCAGCAGCCGCGGUAAUACGGAGGAUGCGAGCGUUAUCCGGAUUUAUUGGGUUUAAAGGGUGCGCAGGCGGAGGUGCAAGUCGGCGGUCAAAUUGCGGGGCUCAACCCCGUACUGCCGUUGAAACUGCAU